GCCGGAGUGGUGGAACUGGUAGACGCAGUGGACUCAAAAUCCACCGGGGGCAACUCCAUGUGAGUUCGAUUCUCACCUCCGGCACCA
rnacentral:tRNA from 1 species